GGGCCGGUAGCUCAGCCUGGUAGAGCAGCGGACUUUUAAUCCGAAGGUCGCGAGUUCAAAUCUCGUCCGGCCCA
rnacentral:tRNA from 1 species